AAUGAACGCUGGCGGCAUGCCUAACACAUGCAAGUCGAACGGCAGCACAGUAAUAGCUUGCUCUUACGGGUGGGCGAUGGGGGACGGGGGAGGUAUACAUCGGAAUCUUCUUUUUCGUGGGGGAUCACGUAGGGGAACCUACUCUCAUAUCGCAUAUCCCCCUCCGGUGUAAGCAGUGGAUCUUUUGAGCUUUCGCGAUUGAAUUAGCCGAUUUCGGAUUAGCUAGUUGGCGGGGUAAAGGCCCACCCAGGCGACGAUCCGUAGCUGGUCUGAGAGGAUGAUCAGCCACACUGGAACUGAGACACGGUCCAGACUCCUACGGGAGGCAGCAGUGGGGAAUAUUGGACAAUGGGCGCAAGCCUGAUCCAGCCAUACCGCGUGGGUGAAGAAGGCCUUCGGGUUGUAAAGCCCUUUUGUUGGGAAAGAAAAGCAGCAGGUUAAUACCCCGCUGUUCUGACGGUACCCAAAGAAUAAGCACCGGCUAACUUCGUG
rnacentral:rRNA from 1 species